AGGGAUCAUUACACAAAUAUGAAGGCGGGCUGGAACCUCUCGGGGUUACAGCCUUGCUGAAUUAUUCACCCUUGUCUUUUGCGUACUUCUUGUUUCCUUGGUGGGUUCGCCCACCACUAGGACAAACAUAAACCUUUUGUAAUUGCAAUCAGCGUCAGUAACAAAUUAAUAAUUACAACUUUCAACAACGGAUCUCUUGGUUCUGGCAUCGAUGAAGAACGCAGCGAAAUGCGAUAAGUAGUGUGAAUUGCAGAAUUCAGUGAAUCAUCGAAUCUUUGAACGCACAUUGCGCCCUUUGGUAUUCCAAAGGGCAUGCCUGUUCGAGCGUCAUUUGUACCCUCAAGCUUUGCUUGGUGUUGGGCGUCUUGUCUCUAGCUUUGCUGGAGACUCGCCUUAAAGUAAUUGGCAGCCGGCCUACUGGUUUCGGAGCGCAGCACAAGUCGCACUCUCUAUCAGCAAAGGUCUAGCAUCCAUUAAGCCUUUUUUUUCAACUUUUGACCUCGGAUCAGGUAGGGAUACCCGCUGAACUUAAGCAUAUCAAUAGGCGGAGGAAAAGAAACCAACAGGGAUUGCCCUAGUAACGGCGAGUGAAGCGGCAACAGCUCAAAUUUGAAAUCUGGCUCUUUUAGAGUCCGAGUUGUAAUUUGCAGAGGGCGCUUUGGCUUUGGCAGCGGUCCAAGUUCCUUGGAACAGGACGUCACAGAGGGUGAGAAUCCCGUACGUGGUCGCUGGCUAUUGCCGUGUAAAGCCCCUUCGACGAGUCGAGUUGUUUGGGAAUGCAGCUCUAAAUGGGAGGUACAUUUCUUCUAAAGCUAAAUAUUGGCCAGAGACCGAUAGCGCACAAGUAGAGUGAUCGAAAGAUGAAAAGCACUUUGGAAAGAGAGUCAAACAGCACGUGAAAUUGUUGAAAGGGAAGCGCUUGCAGCCAGACUUGCUUACAGUUGCUCAUCCGGGUUUCUACCCGGUGCACUCUUCUGCAGGCAGGCCAGCAUCAGUUUGGGCGGUAGGAUAAAGGUCUCUGUCACGUACCUCCUUUCGGGGAGGCCUUAUAGGGGAGACGACAUACUACCAGCCUGGACUGAGGUCCGCGCAUCUGCUAGGAUGCUGGCGUAAUGGCUGUAAGCGGCC
rnacentral:rRNA from 1 species